rnacentral:lncRNA from 1 species
GUGCAAAAUUUGACAUAGUACAAUUCAUAAAUUCAGAGAUUAUGACAUUAAAAAUUAUUUUUAUACUGGUAGUUGACCAGAAAUUAACAAUUAAUUAUUUUUUUAGAAACUGAAAAAGCAUCUAUUUUUUUUAGUUCUACUUGACAAGAGAUGACAGUGCCUUUAGGGAGGAGAAGGGACAUCUUUCCAAAGCAGCAAAUUCUUAUUGUGGAUGAAGUCAGUUCUUCAUUGAGACACGGUCUUAUUCUGUCACCCAGGCUGAAGUGCAAUGGUUUGAUCCUAGCUCACCGCAGCCUGAAACUUCUGGGCUCAAGUGAUCCUCCCAGCUCAGCCUCUCAAGUCUGGGAUUACAGGCAUGAGUCACUGUACCCAGGCUAA